AACGAACGCUGGCGGCAGGCCUAACACAUGCAAGUCGAGCGCCCCGCAAGGGGAGCGGCAGACGGGUGAGUACCGCGUGGGAAUCUACCCAUAUCUACGGAAUAACGCAUGGAAACGUGUGUUAAUACCGUAUCCCUCCUUCCGGAGAACUAUUAAACGGGGAUGGAUGAGCCCGAGUUGGAUUAGCAAGUGGGUGGGGCAAAGGCCUACCAAGGGAACGAUCCAUAGCUUGUCUGAGAGAAAGAUCAGCCACACUGGGAGUGGGACACGGUCCAGAAUCCUACGGGAGGCAGCAGUGGGGGAUAUUGGACAAUGGGGGCAAGGCUGAUCCAGCCAUGCCGCGUGAGUGAUGAAGGCCCUAGGGUUGUAAAGCUCUUUCACCGGUGAAGAUAAUGACGGUAACCGGAGAAGAAGCCCCGGCUAACUUCGUGCCAGCAGCCGCCGUAACAC
rnacentral:rRNA from 1 species